rnacentral:sRNA from 1 species
UUUUCAUUUAACUCAAACUUAAGCUUUCCCAACUAUGACUCUGAUUGUCCAUCUUCUGUGGACAUCGAGUGGCUCCUGUCCACUCUGUUUGACGCCUCCCUGUUAUCCACUUCGAGCCGCCGGAAACGGCGGCUCUUUUUUG